UUUGACUCAACGCGGGAAAUCUUACCAGGUCCAGACAUAUGGAGGAUUGACAGACAGUUAACCAAAACGCAGCAGCUAGUUUAACAAAACUAACAGCUCUUUCAAGAUUAUGUGGUAGGUGGUGCAUGGCCGUUCUUAGUUCGUGAAGUGAUUCGUUCGCCCAAUCGCAUUUCCAAACAACUAACAACUCAGAAUGCUGGGCAAUAGGACGUUUAAAGUGGCUCCUUACACCUUACAAAGGAAUGGCUGAUGAGAAACAACUCGAUCCGCUCAGCGUUCUAUUGGAAUGCAACGGACGUGAUUGCAAGCUUUUGUUUUGAGUUGCGGUUU
rnacentral:rRNA from 1 species